GAUGAAGAACGUAGCGAAAUGCGAUACGUAAUGUGAAUUGCAGAAUUCAGUGAAUCAUCGAAUCUUUGAACGCAUAUUGCGCUCUCUGGUAUUCCGGAGAGCAUGCUUGUUUGAGUAUCAGUAAACACCUCAACUCCCUUUUCUUUUUUGAAAUUGGAGCUGGACUUGAGUGAUCCCAACGCUUUCUUCCAAGAAAGUGGCGGGUUGCUUGAAAUGCAGGUGCAGCUGAACUUUUCUCUGAGCUAUAAGCAUAUCUAUUUAGUCUGCCUAAAAAACAGAUUAUUACCUUUGCUGCAGCUAACAUAAAGGAGACUAGUUCUUGUGCUGACUGCUGCAGGAUUCACAGAGACAGCUUCGGCUGACUUUGUAAACUCGAUCUCAAAUCAAGUAAGACUACCCGCUGAACUUAAGCAUAUCAAUAAGCGGAGGA
rnacentral:misc_RNA from 1 species